rnacentral:rRNA from 1 species
UGCCAGCCGCCGCGGUAAUACGGAGGGAGUUAGCGUUGUUCGGAAUUACUGGGCGUAAAGCGCACGUAGGCGGACUAUUAAGUCGGGGGUGGAAUCCCGGGGCUCAACCCCGGAACUGCCUCUAAUACUGCUAGUCUUGAGUUCGAGGGAGGUGAGUGGAAUUCCGAGUGUAGAGGUGAAAUUCGUAGAUAUUCGGAGGAACACCAGUGGCGAAGGCGGCUUUCUGGGCCAUUUCUGACGCUGAGGCGCGAAAGCGUGGGGAGCAAACAGGAUUAGAUA